rnacentral:lncRNA from 1 species
CCUGUUACAAAAAAAGCCACAGUUAGUUUGUUCUGUUAUUAAUACUAGUGUGCAUACGGAUACUGUAUUCGUCAGUAUUAAGAAGUCUAGAGUUCGAUUCGUGAUGGUAACUAACAAGUCCCCGAAGGUGUAGCCUAAUAAUAUGAGUUGAGACGUAGAAAGUGUAAUAAGAAGGAGAUUCAAAGUUCAAUCGGCUCUGAUACCAUCUUAGAUUUUUAUAGUGUCUAACUCAUCCUUACAAAACCAGCUUGUAAGGUGAGGAUUGCCUCUUCUUUAUAAACACAUAUUUAGGCCAUCUCGCAAUCGAUGUGAGGCUUCUUAACAUUUUCCUCUCCCAUCUAACAAAUUAACCAUAACAGUUGCAUAUGAAAAAAC